rnacentral:rRNA from 1 species
CAGUCGCCGCGGGAACACAGAGGGUGCGAGCGUUAAUCGGAUUUACUGGGCGUAAAGCGUGCGUAGGCGGCUUCUUAAGUCGGAUGUGAAAUCCCUGAGCUUAACUUAGGAAUUGCAUUCGAUACUGGGGAGCUAGAGUAUGGGAGAGGAUGGUAGAAUUCCAGGUGUAGCGGUGAAAUGCGUAGAGAUCUGGAGGAAUACCGAUGGCGAAGGCAGCCAUCUGGCCUAAUACUGACGCUGAGGUACGAAAGCAUGGGGAGCAAACAGGAUUAGAUACCCCAGUAGUCCCUGUCUCUUAUAC